rnacentral:lncRNA from 1 species
UUCACAUCAUAUUAAUUCACACUUAAGCGUUCCUUGAAACCACCAAGUUUUAAGGUCAACCCCACUUCCAACCAUGGCCAAAAAAAGAAAAGUCUACGGGGAUCUUGUAAAUUAUUACCGUCCUUCGAAAUGACUACUGAAGGGUGCAAGAAAAACGGAAGUGAGAUUCCAACAGGAGGGCACCACUGUCCCUGUCUGACCUUAAACCAGGAGAUUUUGUACAGAUGUAUUCCUUCAAGAAAACCAGCUUGUUGGCAGUAAUAGAGAAGAAAUGAGCUUCUCCCAACAACAGCCAACAACAGCCAAUGACAACAGCAAAAUAGGAAAAAGGGUUGCCCUCUGAAAGGUAAAUAAACUCUAUACACAAUAAAUGACCAUCUGUGGAAGUAAAACCGAGAGACAGGCUUUACCACCUCCCAGAACUCCAAUCCAGAUGACCACGGAUAAAUCUCUAGCACGCGGAAUAGAGAUGUCACGGCUGUUAGGUAAGCAGAGAGUAAUGCAGGGUAUAUAUUCCUGGAAGAGAACAGGGUUAGUCAAACUGGAUCUCAGAAAAGGGAGCUGCUGUACAAGACAUUCUAGGAAGCAAGCCUCUGAAUUCUGAAACCCAGACCUGCUGGUCACGGUGGGGCAGGGAUGAUCUUCCAAGCUUCCCUGCGGUCUGCAUGAAAUUCUCUCACCCACACCAGCUUCCUGUGCUCCAAUUCCAUGCCUCUGACUGGUUUCCACUUAAGAAUUAAUGGGUAAAAAGGAAAAAGAAUUAGUAGUAUGAUCUUGUUGCUUCCCCAGAGUCAUCAAUAAAAAGGCAGAACAGAGAGAAAACAAAACAAAACAAAGUUAUACCAGGAGACAGAACUGGGAGAUCUCAGAUCGUCUUCUCUGUGAAUCGGGUGUUGCUACUGAAGCCGUGAUAAUCCUGGUCACCUGAGGCAGAAAAUAAACAUUUCUUCCUACAAAGAAUGUGGGCAUUUUCCAGUGGGAUUUGUGAGCCAGCAAAGACUUAGCAGCAGUUUCUUCACUGCCAAAAAUCUCUAACUUUCCAUGAUGAAAAACUAUUGUUGUCAUUGACCGGCUUUACGAAAUAUUGGCUUACGUUUUAAUCAUCUGUUGAGCAUCAGGCACUAUCCUGGGCACCUGUGAAUCCAUUUGGUCCUCGCAGCUAUUCUAUGACAUGGGCACAUUAUCCUCCUUCACAGAUGAAGAAACAAGUUAAAGAGAUGUUCCCAAAAGAGUUAAGUUAGGAGCAAAGUUAAUACUUGAACCCAAAUCUGUUUCCAGGGUUUUUAUGCCUUUCACUACACCUGCUUUGCAGGAAAGUGAUGAGAAUUUCUAGUAGACGCUGAGUAGGGGCGGUGCUGCACGGCACUCACUGUUUCUGAGAUACUGGUGAUGGGACAGAUAACCGAGAAGGAGACACUGGUGAAUUCUGAAAGGAAGGUGUGCCUCAGCAAAGGCCGCAGGGGAAGACAGGAGGUUCGCUCGCUCACCUUUAUUUGGAAAGCCUUCCUCCCACAUUCCCUAGCAAUGCUAGUCAGUCCCAGGGGUUUGGAUGGGGCUGGCUGCCCGUGGCCCCUGAUCCAGGGGUUGGGGGCAUUGUUGGGAGCAGAGUCCUCCAUGGGACUUCUGCUAGAGCAAUCAGUGCAGACGUGCUCUUGUUUGGGGAUUGCGAUCUGAAGGCCCCCAGAAGCUUGCGACUGCAGGCAGCCAUCUGUCCAGAGACCACCUAAUCAAGAAACCCCUG